GUUGAACUGACAAUUGAGGGAAAGGGGAGCGGGUGAUUGAUAGACAGAUGUGUGUGGUACGGGCUGUACCAGUCUGUUUUAAGGAAGAGAGAUCUGAGCAUAAAAAUGAAGUCGUCAAUUUACCAGUUAAUCUACAUUCUCCCCCUCGCCUGUGGUCAUGAGCUGUGGGUAGUAACCCAAAGAAUGAGAUAACAGAUAUUUGAAAGGUGUCUGGGAUGAGGAGCUCACAUCGCAAAGAGUCAGUCGAGGUAUUUCUGGCUUUUUUUUUUUUUCUUUUUCUUUUUACAAUGUCCUACUGGAAAGAUGCCCCCAUGGUGGAACCUGAACACGCUGGAGAGAUUGCAUUGCUCAGCUGGUUGGGAACACAAUGAAGAACCCAAUGACAGGCAAGUGUGGGUGUCUCUGGGUAACCUGAACUCAGAUGAGCUUCAGAAAAAGCAUGCAUGGAUAUUUUCCUUUGUUUUUUUUUUUCUUUUUGUGUGUGUCUUUUAGCUCCAAAGGUGCCGUGCCAUUCAGUUCCACUAUAUCCAAGAGUAGGCAGACAGCUGCAGAGCUGAUAUGUUGGAAACUGGGAAACUCACACCAAAUCAAUAUCGAUGGAUAAACAGCACUACAGACCAGAGGAAAAUUUAAUGCAAAUUAGAUUUUAAGAGGAAAAGUUCUUUUAAUCAAAAGCGCUUCCAAUGCAGUCAAACUAUCGUAUUAUUUAUUAUAGGUUUUAUUUCAUUACUUCUCCCUUGCAUUGGCUCCUUAAGAUGUUUUUCUUGCCUUACCACUUUUGUAUUCAGAGGGCAGCCUUAUUUUCCCUGUGGCUGGUUAUGAGGACUGCAGUACCGAAAGUCGUUGUCUGCCCCCUUGUGGGUAAUACCGGUACAGGCUUUAUCUCUUUUGAGCCUGCUCUUGAAACUGGAGACUAAUAUGACCGGCCACGUUAACUGACCCACCUAACUUAGUCCUUGUUUCUGUCAUUCACCAGCUGAGGUCCGCUCUAAAAAUGUAUUUCUUUCUUUUCUGUUGAGAAGAACUUAUAAACUGAGGUUGAAGAUGCAUGUGGUUUGCAUCAUGAUGAUUUAUUUUAUUCUUCCCCUCUUUGUUGCCUUAAAUUUCUUCUGGUGAUUUGAGUGUUUCAGUCAGUGCAGAUGGUGACACACAUCUGAACAGCUCAGCACUUCAUUUACUCUGUGUGUGUGUGUGUGUGUGUGUGUGUGUGUGUGUGUGUGAGAGAGAGAGAGAGAGAGAGAGAGAAAGUAAAAUGCAGUUUAACCUCAAUCACACUUGAGUUCGAGCCGAUUUCUGAUCCAACAUCUGUAAAAGUGGAGAUAAUUUUCCUUUUUUGUCCAUUUCUGCUUGUGGUCAGCAGUGGGUUUUAACUGUAUUGUAUUUUGUAUUGAUUUUGUGUUGUACCAUAAUAUGAUCUCAGCAGUGCACAAAUGUCUGCUAUUUUCUGUUGUAUGUAUAGAUAUUUGUUCACCAAACCUUUUGUUUUGCACGUAUAAAAACUCUUUUCUCAUUUCAUUCAUAACAGCAAAAUAGACUUCAGUGCUGCAGUUCCACGUAGUUGCAUACAUUUGUCAUAUUGUGUCAUAUAUUGAUGACAAAAAAAAAAUUCAGCCACAUCCUCCAGGCAUAGUAAUGCCUAAUGCCCCUGAAAAUCUGAAGCACAACAUCUGCACUGAAUGUUUGUGUGACUCUUCGUGUGUUUUCGUCUUAUCUUGCCACUCCGCUUCAAAUCACUGCACGAGUUUCUGAUAGCAGAAAUCUUGUGGCUCUGCAUUAUUGUGAAAGCAUGCCUUAAACAAUCUGGAUACCCUUCAACAUUUAUAUCAGCCUGUGGUGGACUACCUUCUUCUUCUCUUUGAGGACAUCAGGACAUGCUCCUCCUACUUUGUCUCCGGCGGACUGUGCAAAGUGCAUUUGAUGUACACAGAUGUAGCUUUCAAAAGCAGUAAGACACUGGACUUUUUAGACCUGCUGAACUCUGUUUUUAACUCGUUUUAGAAAAAAAACUUGUGCAAUUCCUUCUUUCUGAAGUCAUUUCACGCUGCCUUUACCAGCCCUCAUUCUGUUCAAAUCCUCUUCACCAAAAGGUACUAUAGCUUUAUGAAACCCCUCAUAUUAUGUUAUCUUUUCAUCCCCCUCCCCUCCCCUCACAUAUUGAUGAGUGGUGUCCAGUUUUGUAUUUUUCUACUAUAUGAGCUGUUUACAGGUGCAGUGUGGAUAUACUAAUAGUUGCACCUCAACCAUUACGUGUACAGUUUCAGCUUACAGUGCAGAAUCAAAGCUGUACUGCAUAGAAUGACAAUAAAGUUAUAUGACAUGUCUUUUGAUCUUUAUUUCUGCCUAGUGCGUUACUUUAUGGCAAACAUUUUCAUUUGUUCUCGUAUAGAACAGAUGAAGCUAUGCAGAUGACUCAUCUGGAGCCAUUUGUAGCUACAAUAAACUUAAAAGUAGGUUUGGUAAGGGGUAGCUUUAGCAAAGCACUACAUCCACUCACAUUUCUGUGAAAAAAACAAAAACAAAAAACAGUUUUCUGCUGUAUAAAAAAAAAAAAAAAAAAAAUGUAUAAAAAAUAGACUGUUUAUUGUUACACCUGAACGUUUUGCCAGACUUUCUUAUGUUGUGGCAGGGGUUUCAAAACAUAAGGUAUGGGUCCAGAAACGGCCCGGCAAAGACUGCAAUCUGGUCCAGUGUAUAAUUUUUAAAAAUGUGAAGAAGGGCAUAAAUUUCUCAAUUUUAAUAGUGUUUUCACAUGAUUUAACAGCUUUGGCUACUAAUAAACACCUCCCCCACUGCCAUUCAUACUAAAGUAAA
ensembl:lncRNA